UUUGUUUGAUACUUUAACAACAAGUUUGUCUUUAGUCUCUUUAGGGUUUGUUUCUUGCUUUGUGAUGUUUGUAGUCGUCGUUCACUUCUUAUUUCAGGAGAAAGUUUGAAGACAAGUUGACGUGUUGUUGGAUUAUUGAUUUAUAUGAUAAACAGCUGAUGUUCUUUUUCUUUCUUCAGCCGUCAGAAAACAAAUCAGUGUAAAGUCACACACAUCACACUAAUAUUUCCUCUGGAACCUUUAAAACUUCAAGGUUUAGCUUUAGUGUACGACAGGAUUGCACAAUGAAAUGCAGUCACCAUUUACAGCUGGCUCUGAUAUCAAGAUUAAUCUUUUACUGGACAGUUUAAUAACCUCUGUGGACUUUGGGCUCCUUACCAAGGUUCAAGGUUCAGCGUUACUGCCAGUAUGCAACAGGAUUGCUGUUCUAUAAAACAGUCUCACAGAUAUCACUGAUGCUCAGUAGAUAUGUAGCAAAUAUGUUCUGGGUGGUUUAAAUGGCCUGCUGCAGAGCUCUCCUGUCCUGGGCCGUGUACAUCUCACACCAGUUUGUAAUGGUCCCAGUCAGGAUUCAUCUAUUGCUCCUCUGUAGAAGAAAACAAGAACUUCACAUUGUAGUUUCCCUUAACCAGGGUAGAGAUGUGUGAUGACCAUGACAGGUUCUCUGUGACGCUAAAACUGUUCACCUGCUCCACCUCAGCUCCACUGAUGUAGACAGGGCUGUGUGUCUUCACCCUAAAGUCAAUUAUAAGUACAUUGUUCUCUGUGAACCAUCCUGCAUGAUUUUUAGCUCCCUCAUUGUUGUUUGAAAUCUGUUCCACAGCAUUUAUUUAGCUGACACAUUUAUCCAAAGAGACUUACAGUGGGAGCAUUUAACCCUGUGGAUACAACCCCGCAAACUGCAAGUACAUCAGCUUCAUCAAAUACGCUGAACUGCUUCAAGCUCAACAUCCAGAAACACUGAGACACAGAGAAACAGGACAUCAGUCGAUGCACCUAAAAUAUUGUGAAAACUUGUCACUUGUCAGCCUGCAGGGUUUUUUCAAUGUAAAAAGAAACCUUUGAGAUCAAGGUGUCACUCAAAGGUUUCAGGAGGAUUUGCCAAACUGGUUGUAGAUUUGUGAUGUGCCAGUUUUCUUUGACAUAUCUGGCACUCGACUUUUUGGGAAUCAUCUUUACGAAUUUAGAAACUAAUCCAGACACUUGACAUCUUGGACACUUUGCUAGCGUGUCUGUAAGCGUGUCACAUGUGGUCAGACUGUCCCAGUUUCAGUAGUGCUGCACUGCUGGGGGCUGAUGUUACAUGAGAGCACGUCAGAGUCACAAAACUAUCACUAAGUUUAAAUGUCCCUGUCUGAGAAGAACUUAUAUUAAUGAAUGCUUAUCCCUAAGAUAUAAUGUUGAGUAACUGUUUCUACAUUUAUUGGUAUUUGGGGUUUUUAGUUACCAUGGCAACAGCUACAGCUGCAAACACUGGGGUCAGCCCUAGAGACAGUGUUGCCCUGGAUUCAGUGAGUAAGCUUUAGUGUUACACUUUGUGGAAGUGUGUCCAUUCACAGUGAGCUGAGUGAUGUGUGAGCAGCUCCUGUUUGCAGUGGACUCACGGAUGUGUCACUGGUUACUGUCAUACUGUGUGCAGUGUCAUACAGAGUGCAGCGUUUGUAAAGAGGAAGAAAGUGUUAAACAUAUUUUUAUGAAAUGUCAAAAGUAUGAGAGGGAAAGAGAAAAAUUAAAAAGAAAUAGUGAGGAAAUAGGGAUGAAAUUUAGCAUUAAAGAAAUGUUAGAUAAGCCCUCGACAGAUAGAAUAAUGAGUAGAGUACUUGAGUAUCUUAGAAGUACAGGACUAGAUAAACGGGUAUGAGUGUUUGUUUUAUUAUGCAAAAUGUAGUCUGUAAGCCUAUACAGUAACCACACAGACCGAAGGGUGGCGCUAAUGCACUGUCAUAGUUUGCUACUGCCGUUAAAGAAGAAGAAGAAGAAGAAGAAGAAGAAGAAGAAGAAGAAGAAGAAAGAACAAUGGCAGAUCGUAUCCAGACUGUAAGUGUCCUUACAGUCUGGAUGCAGCAUAGUCUGCUGCACAUAGUUAUAUUAUUACCCGGGGAGAUGAACUAAGCAAUGGAAAUGCUGCUGCUGCCCAUAUUUGGACGUCCCAGCUCGGCUGAUUAGGAGCACCUGGGUCCGGUGUUCCAUACGACUUUAGGGACCCAACCCCCAGCGCAGUUCACUCUCCCAGAUCCCUGCCAGCGCCUGCACGUUUGGUUUCUUUGUCUUUUGGUUUUGUACCAACAUGACACUCACACAAACCCUCAACCACACUUACACAACUGAUCAUACUGACAAACACACCUCGUCUAUUUGGUCCUCUGUUCUAAAUCGUUUCCUUUGAAGAAAAGAAAUAAAUUGUUUUAUUUAUCGGCA